UUUUUGUUUUGUUUCAUUUUUUUUUUAACUGUCUUUCACUGUAGCCCUGGCUGUCCUGGAACUCACUCUGUAGUCCAGGCUGGCCUUGAACUCACAGAGAUCCACCUGCCUCUACUUCCUGAGUGCUGAUUGACAGCGUGUGCCACCACAUCCAGCAACUUGUAUAUAUUUUUUAAAAAACAGACUAUUCUCUUAAAAAAAAAAAGAUUUAUUUUAUGUAUAUGAAUACACUGUAGCUGUCUUGAGACACACCAGAAGACGGCAUCAGAUCUCAUUACAGAUGGUUGUGAGCCACCAUGUGGUUGCUGGGAAUUGAACCCAGGACCUCUGGAAGUGAAGAGGUUGUUCUUAACCACUGAGCCAUCUCUCCAGCUUCAACUAUUUUCUUUUAAACUGCCACUUAAUAUGUACUAAAACCAUACUUUUAUAAUGUGAGUCUUUGUGGAAAAUAUUUUGCAUAUUUUCCUUGUAGGUCUAAAUCUAAAAGGAGUUAUGCAUACUUACUACUUUCAUAUUCACUGAUGGUGUCAUCAAACACUGAAUAUUGUUUAUAGUUCAAAUUUUUCCUCACAUUAAUUAGUAAUAGCUUUGCUAUCUGUUACAUUGUUUCUAAUAAUGUGUUUUUCUAAUUUAUAGGCAUAAUUUAGUUAAGAAAAAUAUAAUUUCAGAACUGGAGAUAAAACUUAGUGGUUGUAUUCUUGCCUAGUAUGCACUAAGCUCUGGGGUCACACUGCUAACCACUACCCCCCACCCCCACCCCAAAACAGGGUUUCUUUGUAUAGACCUGGCUGUCUUAGAAUCUGUUCUCUAGGCUGGCCUUGAAUUCAGACAUCUACCUGCCUCUGGCUGCUGAGUGCUGGGAUUAAAGGAUAUGUACCACUAACGCCUAUCUUCAUUCAGCACUGUGUUUUGUUUUGUUUUGUUUUGUUUUGUUUUGUUUUGUUUUGUUGUUUUAUUUUAAGGGGAAAGCUUAAAUUUAGGAGUACAUUUUGGAACUUGUGGUGUGCCAGGAAGUAGAGUGCUUCCCUUAUAUACAUGAAGCCUUGGGUUCAGUUACUAGCAAUCCUCUCCCCGCACCCCCAACCGAAAAAGAAAAAGACAAAGAAUAUGCUUUUUCUACCCUAUACUUGGAUACAACGAUGCAGCUAGAAUGUAUGUACAUAAUUUUCAGUGUUAAAUUAGGGAACUAAAAGCAUUGCAGUAUUGGGGGCUGGAGAGAUUUGCUCAGCCAUUUUAAGAUGGCUGCUUUUCUAGAAGACUAGGGUUCAAUUCCCAGCACAACUAUCAAAUCCAGGGAAUCUGAUGCCCUCUUCUGGCUCUGUGGGCACUAGGCACACACAUGGUUCACAGAUAAGCAUGCUGGCACUCAAACACAUGAAAAUGAAUAAAUAAAAUGAUAUUGGAGUAUCAUAAUAGCUGUCAGCAUUGAGAAGUAAGUUUUAUUUGACACAACUCUAUUUAAUUCAGAAUCAGAAUUGGU
rnacentral:lncRNA from 1 species